GAAUGUUUAAACCCGGAACCGCCAGAACUUCACAGACUGCUUCUGUGUGAAGGACGCGCAAUAUAACUGGGUGGCACUGAACGUGGGCGGCGCCAAUCUUGUCACCAGUAUCACUGUCACCACCUCCUUCGGCAACGACUCGGUCCUCCUCAAAAAUACCAACAUCCAUGUGGGUAACACAACUGACUACAACGUGGAGCCCAUCGUCGCCACCCUCAGUGACACACCAGAGGAGUACACCGACCAGGUCUUCAACGUGUCAGCCACCGGACAGUUCGUGGUGCUGCACAGAAACGACUCGACACGCCUGUGUCUGUGCCACAUUCAGGCGAUGGGAUUACAAUAUAACUAAGACACACUGUGCGUGUCAACGAAGACCCUCAUCACUGGCCUUCUCAGACAACUACAGUGUCUUUUCAUUCCGAUUAAUCAACCAUUGGGCUACGUUAAUUGAUGUUAUAAUACUCUACAUUAAAAACGCUGUGAGAAAAAACAACAUUUAGGUACCUGACAAAUAUGGUGAGGAAUAUAAUGUGACAAUAUUUCAGCAAGUGUGUGUUGGUGAUUUUUAACUCUAGUGUCUGCCAUUAUACGAGUGAAGUUAAAUUAAAUAAAGAAAGACUUGGGCCUUAUAUCUGUAGAUAUAUGAGACGAAUAUGCCUGUAAUAUGUAACUCUGUACUAUUUACCAUUAUUGAUUCAGGUCUCUG